rnacentral:tRNA from 1 species
UGGAUUGUAGCUCAGUGGUAGGGCGCCUGCCUUGCAUGCAUGAGGCACUGGGUUCGAGCCUCAGCACCACAU